rnacentral:lncRNA from 1 species
CAGGAGCGUGGAUGUUCACUGCCUUCCUUCAACCACUCCAGGCAGCCGCCCCUCAACCAACCCCCAGGCGGCAAGGCCCUCUCCACGCGCGCUCUCCAGCCUGGCGGGGCCCUGGAAGCCGGGACACGCGGAGGCCGGGAGGGUCAUCGGCGUUUAAGGCAGCCUCCCACACCAAGUGCACCGCCCGGAUCCCCUCUGCACGAGGGCUUUCUGCUUAUUGCUCUUUUCCCCAGCAGCCAGAAUCGUCACCGUAGCGCGGGAAGGGGCCUCGCGGGCCGUCUGCAGCAGGUGCGGCCGGGAGCCGCAGGCCCGCGCGUUGCCAUGGGUUACCAGGGCGGUUGCCAUGGGUUACCCAGCCCAGUCGCCGCCGCCAGCGGAGCGGCCCGGGCGGGACGCGGCGGGAGCGCGCGUGUGCGGGACGCAGCGCGGGGGAUGCGCGCGGGCCGCGGAGGCGCCGCAACCAACAGGCGGCCGAGGGUGCAGCCGCGGGAGCGCCACCGCCAGUGGGGUGGGGGGCAAAGCUAUAAAGAAGGCCCAGAGGUAAGAAACUAGCAAAAACACAACCACAAGUUAUGCCCGUGCUGUGCCUCUAGCAGCAAAGACAAGCGGUGUGGGGUUGGAUGAAUCUACACUUCUCGUCGGGGGAGAAAGGGAUUCCUGCGGAGCUGUAUUUACUUUACAUCCAUGUGAACUGCUGUCAUCACUACUGUGUCCAAGCCCAGAGGAUGAACUGGAAAAGAAGAGAGGGGGAAAAUAAUAAAAAGAGGAAAUUGGUUUUCACAACACACUCAAAGCCUGAGUAACAGAGGAGAACUUUAAUUAUCUCCAGUCACAAAGAGAGACAGGAAAUUUGGACUUUUAAUUAGCCAUUUGGAGUGCAGUUGGGUAUUUUUUUAGCUAGAUAAUUUAAACGCGAAUAAUUCAAGUCUGACUAAAUGAAAGUCACAUAAUCAGAAUGCAAAUAAUUGAAUUUCUACUGCAUUCAUUAAUUCAGUGUGGAGGUGUGUGUGAAGACUACUAUGAUGAGCUGUCACAGCUCAAUAAAAUCUCAGUCAAUUAAUUUUUUCAUUAUCUUAGGGAAACGUCUAUUCAUUAAGGCAAACUUGUGAAUUGCUUCUUCCACAGAGUACUUAGUCUGCCCAGAAACACACGCCUCAAUGUCUUCUGAAUUCAGAUGGCUCUGUAAGAAGAGGUGAAGGCUGCUAUCUGAAAGCAAAAGUGCAUUCUGUAGGACUCUAUAUUAAAAAAAAAAGGAAAAAUAAUUGGUGAACAGGAUGGUCAGUGAUAGGGUAGAAGAAAGAAAAACAUUAGAAAAGUACCACUGAAGAUUAAGAGAAGAGUUAUAGAGCAACAAUCCAUUAAUACGAA